CUUCCGCCGGCGACCGGCGCACGGGUGAGUAACACGUAUGCAACCUGCCCCUGUCAGGGGGACAACCCGCCGAAAGGCGGGCUAAACCCGCGUACAUGCCACCGGGGCAUCCCGGAGGCAGGAAAGGCUUCGGCCGGACAGGGAUGGGCAUGCGGCGCAUUAGGCAGUAGGCGGGGUAACGGCCCACCGUGCCGACGAUGCGUAGGGGUUCUGAGAGGAAGGCCCCCCACACUGGUACUGAGACACGGACCAGACUCCUACGGGAGGCAGCAG
rnacentral:rRNA from 1 species